rnacentral:lncRNA from 1 species
CCUACUUCCACUUCGGAGCACAUGCAUCUCUCCACCUAGCAGGCAAGAUUUCCUCCAGGCAACUUCCUAAAACAUAUCAGAAAAAUCAUAAAAAGCUCGAGAAGGGGCACUUAAUGAUGACAUAUUGAUCAAUGGCUUCUGCAUUUUGGAGGAAACAGUGGGCAAGGCCUAUCAUUUUUCCAGUAUAGGAAUAUUCUUCAAUCAAUACAGAUCAGGAAGAAGAGAAGGAGGAAGAGUUAGCAAAACAAUUUCUAAAUUUGAUUUCAAAAUCUCCCAGGAUGAUUCCUGGUCUAAUUAUCUUAACAGCUAUCCUCCAACUAUAAAAAUUGAAAGAAAACAAAAACCUAC